rnacentral:rRNA from 1 species
UUCCGGUUGAUCCUGCCGGAGGCCAUUGCUAUCGGAGUCCGAUUUAGCCAUGCUAGUUGUGCGGGUUUAGACCCGCAGCGGAAAGCUCAGUAACACGUGGCCAAGCUACCCUGUGGACGGGAAUACUCUCGGGAAACUGAGGCUAAUCCCCGAUAACGCUUUGCUCCUGGAAGGGGCAAAGCCGGAAACGCUCCGGCGCCACAGGAUGCGGCUGCGGUCGAUUAGGUAGACGGUGGGGUAACGGCCCACCGUGCCCAUAAUCGGUACGGGUUGUGAGAGCAAGAGCCCGGAGACGGAAUCUGAGACAAGAUUCCGGGCCCUACGGGGCGCAGCAGGCGCGAAACCUUUACACUGUACGAAAGUGCGAUAAGGGGACUCCGAGUGUGAAGGCAUAGAGCCUUCACUUUUGUACACCGUAAGGUGGUGCACGAAUAAGGACUGGGCAAGACCGGUGCCAGCCGCCGCGGUAAUACCGGCAGUCCGAGUGAUGGCCGAUCUUAUUGGGCCUAAAGCGUCCGUAGCUGGCUGAACAAGUCCGUUGGGAAAUCUGU